AGCUAUUUCAGCUAUUUUAGAAUUUUUUUCUAGCAUGUUUUCUAAUUUUGGUCAGAAAACCCAA